AUGACUGGGAGAACUUAUUCAAGUUUUCUGUCCUCAGAUAAAGAGAGCUAUGAAAGCCUGUCUACAGAUGAAGAGGUCCCAAUGAAGAGCAGUGGUUCUCAGUCCUGGGGACUCAAAGGGAUUCCUUGUAACUGGAGAUUCUUUCAAAACGAUUGGCUACAGUUACUGUGUAGGGCACUGCAAGGUUGGGUGACCAGGGCCAUCUGGGACUGCCUCCUGGAGGAAUUCAGGCGUGUGAAGGCUACUUGUGUCCUGUAUAACUUCAUGAGGAUGGACAUGAGGAACAGGAUGGGAUCUGCAGCUCGCCGCUGUGUGCCAGAGGAGAAAGUCUGGUGCUCAGCAGGAUGUGUCAAGGAUGGGGUCCAACAACACAGCAAGAGAGGCAAUCUGUGUUAUCAGCUGUGUCGGUGAAUCCCUCCCGCAUCUGAACUGGCUACAUAGAGGGCACAGCAUGAUCAGAGGAAUGUUUUGAUGUAAGAGAGGAUGCUAACCCCCAGUCCCGUCAUCGCCACCUUACCCGUUCUUAAGAUAACCUUCGGGCUGACUAGAGAAACUAUUAUGUAACUGUGAUGAACUGAGAGAAUAUUAGGGUAGCACUGUGACUCAUUAAUCAUAUGCUGCCUUCCCUGCUCCUCUGUUCUUUCCCUUUCUGUCUUUUACACCUCUCUCGCCACCUCUUUCUUUCUCUGUUUUUAUAAUGCACAACAGCUGUGCAUUGAAGUAAAGAUUGAACUUGCAUUUAUAAUAUAUUACAAUUAUAAUAUUUAUAAUGCAUGUAUUUAUAACACUUGGAUAAUGAACUUCUUUCAAUAAAGCGUUUCACAUUCUCUACUGGUUGAAAUUAAGUCUCAUUUGAUGAAAUACUACACCUAUCCUGUGUUUAUCAGAUCAAUGCAUAUGAAGGAAAUUAGAUAUUGAGAUGAAUGUGU
rnacentral:lncRNA from 8 species